rnacentral:rRNA from 1 species
GACGAACGUUGGCGGCGUGCUUAACACAUGCAAGUCGAACGGAAAGGCCCUGCUUUUGUGGGGUGCUCGAGUGGCGAACGGGUGAGUAACACGUGAGUAACCUGCCCUUGACUUUGGGAUAACUUCAGGAAACUGGGGCUAAUACCGGAUAGGAGCUCCUGCUGCAUGGUGGGGUUUGGAAAGUUUCGGCGGUUGGGGAUGGACUCGCGGCUUAUCAGCUUGUUGGUGGGGUAGUGGCUUACCAAGGCUUUGACGGGUAGCCGGCCUGAGAGGGUGACCGGCCACAUUGGGACUGAGAUACGGCCCAGACUCCUACGGGAGGCAGCAGUGGGGAAUAUUGCACAAUGGGCGGAAGCCUGAUGCAGCAACGCCGCGUGCGGGAUGACGGCCUUCGGGUUGUAAACCGCUUUCGCCUGUGACGAAGCGUGAGUGACGGUAAUGGGUAAAGAAGCACCGGCUAACUACGUG